rnacentral:rRNA from 1 species
GCCUACGGGGGGCAGCAGUGGGGGAUAUUGCACAAUGGGGGAAACCCUGAUGCAGCGACGCCGCGUGUGGGAAGACGGUCCUCUGGAUUGUAAACCACUGUCCCCAGGGACGAAAAUGACGGUACCUGGGGAGGAAGCUCCGGCUAACUACGUGCCAGCAGCCGCGGUAAUACGUAGGGAGCGAGCGUUGUCCGGAAUUACUGGGUGUAAAGGGAGCGUAGGCGGGGAUGCAAGUUGGGUGUUAAAACUACCGGCUCAACUGGUAGUCGCACUCAAAACUGCAGCUCUUGAGUGAAGUAGAGGCA